rnacentral:rRNA from 1 species
AUUGAACGCUGGCGGCAGGCCUAACACAUGCAAGUCGAGCGGAUGAAGGGAGCUUGCUCCUGGAUUCAGCGGCGGACGGGUGAGUAAUGCCUAGGAAUCUGCCUGGUAGUGGGGGAUAACGUCCGGAAACGGGCGCUAAUACCGCAUCCGUCCUGCGGGAGAAAGUGGGGGAUCUUCGGACCUCACGCUAUCAGAUGAGCCUAGGUCGGAUUAGCUAGUUGGUGGGGUAAAGGCUUACCCAGGCGACGAUCCGUAACUGGUCUGAGAGGAUGAUCAGUCACACUGGAACUGAGACACGGUCCAGACUCCUACGGGAGGCAGCAGUGGGGAAUAUUGGACAAUGGGCGAAAGCCUGAUCCAGCCAUGCCGCGUGUGUGAAGAAGGUCUUCGGAUUGUAAAGCACUUUAAGUGGGGAGGAAGGGAAGUAAGUUAAUACCUUGCUGUAUUGACGUUACCAGCAGAAUAAGCACCGGCUAACUUCGUG